rnacentral:lncRNA from 1 species
ACUCUCUUUCUAUUAAUAUCGAACGGUAAAAACAUGGGACUAACGUCAUCAUACCCGUCUCCUCUCUCCUAUUUCUCAGAUAUAGAGAAGAUAUUGAAUACAAGUGGUGAUUAAAUCAUCAAACACUGCAAACAUUAACCUAUUUUCAGCAACAUCUGCAGAUUCAAUAUAUUCUCAGGUAGUUUAUAUAUAUAUGUAUAUACUUGAUUAUAGAUGUUAUGAUGUAUGAUAUGAAGUUAUUAAUCCGAUAGGAUAUUAUAUCAUAUCAUAUCAUGUAAUUUUACCUGCUUUGAAAACUUAAUUAGGUCGAAUUUGUUCAAUUCGAUAGCCCCAAACUCAAAGCAAAUUUCACAUCAAGCCGCCAUGCAAACCCACCGGAAUCCAUCAAGAACACAUCACACGGCACCGUCAUACGCGUCUUCUUCUUCUUCUUCUCCGACCGGUACUCGAUUCUCACUCUGCAUGAGAAAGCUGGAAGAUAUUUUUCAACCGUAGAUUUCUCAACCUUUGCCUUGAGCCACACGGCAACCUCCGUCAACGGAGUUUCACCGUCGGAAUCCAGAUCUAGCAUGCUCCGGUACGCCGGAUUCACCCACUGCACCACCUCAUCGUGACCGUGACCGUAACCGCU